rnacentral:rRNA from 1 species
GGGCUUCUGAUGCUUAUUGCACCACAUGUGUUUUUUAUUGAACAAAUUUCUUUGGUGGCGGGAGCAAUCCUACCGCCAGAGGUUAUAACUAAACCAAACUUUUUAUUUACAGUCAAACUUGAUUUAUUAUUACAAUAGUCAAAACUUUCAACAACGGAUCUCUUGGUUCUCGCAUCGAUGAAGAACGCAGCGAAAUGCGAUACGUAAUAUGAAUUGCAGAUAUUCGUGAAUCAUCGAAUCUUUGAACGCACAUUGCGCCCUUUGGUAUUCCAAAGGGCAUGCCUGUUUGAGCGUCAUUUCUCCCUCAAACCCCCGGGUUUGGUGUUGAGCAAUACGCUAGGUUUGUUUGAAAGAAUUUAACGGGGAAACUUAUUUUAAGCGACUUAAGUUUAUCCAAAACGCUUAUUUUGCCAGGGGCCCCCCCAAUUUAUUUCAAAACUUUGACCCCAAAUCCGGGAGGAAUACCCCCUGAACU